AUUUGAAGAUGGGGAAAAUUAGUAAAAAUACACUUAAACAUCUCCUAAUAUUCAAAAAGUGUUUCCCUAGAAAUCUGUGUGAUUCCAUAGAUCUCCUUCUUUAUGCU